GACACCACAUUCACUCACAAUAGAAUAUACAUACACACUGCAAAUUCACACACUAGACAUAUACACACAACAACACCCAUCUCAAAGCCUCCAUUUUUUCUCACAUACGCACCAUCAGAAAGGAGAGAGGAACCUAUACACAGCAACGCACUCACACACAUAUACAUAUACGAACAUCCACAGCAACACAUAAAAAGGAGGGCUUGAUUUUCUCCAUUGAUCCCUCAUUCACCUUCUACACAUCCUCACUACACAGAAAUAUACACAACGCAGACUGGAGAUGGAGGGAAUCACACAUCAUCACUCUUAGGAACACAAUCACAGACCUCACCUAUUCCAUACACACACAAUCACUAAAAUUAACUCACACACGUACAAACACAGUUGAACAACGGAGAAUCGGUAGCAAAGGAAGAGAAAAUGGCGGAGGGGAGAUAGAGAUCAGAAAUAGAAAAGAUCUCUCUCUCUCGAGAAAGAAAAUAGAGAGAAAACUGGUUUUAGCUUGGUUUUCGGUGAAGCCUCGUCGGAAUACACCGUCCCAUCACUGCCAAACAGCCAAAAACCCAAAACCAGCGAGAACACCCCAAAUAUCUGAUAAGAAAUCGACCAAUCUCACGUUCUUUGCUACUAUUUGGGUCGCUGGAGCUGCAAACAAGAGCCCACUUAGAUUUCAACAAACCCAUUUAAGUUCAAGCCAAAAUCGGCAGUUUAGGCUCGUAUUGUGGUUGUUUUAGGCUGGUCUGUUGGGAUCGAGGUUCGAAUCGAGAGUUUUCAAAUCCGUCUUUGUCUUUCGAUCACAUAAUUUGGCACAAUAAAAGCUUCAAUCGAGGUUCAAAUCUAUUGUUCUCUUUUUAUUUCAUCUUUUAUUAUAUUUAGUGUGUUACAUUAAAUAUCAUGUGUUGUUUGAUCUUGGUUGGUGAUGAAUUGCUACUUGUUUGAUUUGGAUGAUUGUUACUUGUUUGAUUUGGAUGAUUCUCUUGGAUUAUGAUUUAUAUGAUGAAAUGAUAUUUUGUUUGAGAAUUAAGAUUGGUUUUUUGGGGCGAGAUUAAAAAUUGAAAGAAGUGAAUAUUGAUUUUAUUUUGAUUCAUUGAUGAUUGUUUAAUUCGAAAUAUGUAUUGAUGUUGUUAAAUGCAAUUGCGUCACAAUGGGUUGAAAUUGGAAGGCAAAUGGUAGGACGGGUAGGAAAAUUUAGGCAUUGUGAAUUGAUGGAAUGUUUGAAAUGUGUGUUAAAAUGGUUUUGUUUUAUCGCAUUUGAUUCAAUUGUACUCAUUUGCUCGGGGAAUGCCCCGAGAUAUUUAUAUUGUUUUAUCCAGGAAAUGCCUCGAGAAAGUUGUACUCAAAGAUGGUUCGUGAUCAAGGCCCGAGGUAUUGGGUAGAGCAUAGGCUAGGAUUAGUUUAGAAUAGGAUUUAUAUUUAAGCAUUUUUCUAUUUUCUAGACUUUAUAAUUCGGUCAUAGACACUAUUUUGGAUUUUUGAUUAUUUGGUUGUUUUGUUUGCUUGUUAUAUGUUUUGUUGGUUUAUACACUUCGUAGCAUUAUACUAGCUGAUAUACUCCAUGAAGAGACCAUGGUCGAACCACGGGAUCGAGGGGUGCAUAACACCUUCCCCUCGAUCAACCAAAAUCCUCAGCUGGAAUCUCUGUUCGCGAAUCAGUAUCUAGAGUCAAAUCAUUUUGAAAAAAGAUUUUUCAAAGAUGACUUGGCACACCAGAUUUAUGUCAAGUGGCGACUCUUAGUUUAAAUAUAAGAAGUCCUUUUCAAAACUAAUUUUCAUUUCUUGUCAUUUAAUAAUAAAAUCCUUUCAAACUUAUAAUCAUUCCUUUUGGUAAAAAGGGGUGUGACAGCUCUGGGCACUAGCUGGGGAGACUUUUUUUGAAUUCAAGCUUAUUUUUGGGGUAAUAUAGUCAUUUGAUGGACUGAUUGUUGCAUCUUUGAGGGUAAUAUAGUCAUUUGAUGGACUGAUUGUUGCAUCAUGCUUCUCUGGCUCCUUAGUAUAAGCCUAAUAUAUUCACAACACCAUAUGUCAUCUCUGAUUUUGCUGCUCAACCCUCUACUGAGGCUUCCAUAUUGUCUAUCCGCCCAGGGGUUGUGGUUUCCCAUGCCGCUAAUGAACCCAUGUUAAAUACUCUUGAUGAUCAUUUCUAUGCUCCUGAGCCUACUUUUAAGUUAACUGGAGCACCAAAAUUUCUUAACAAGAAGCCUAUCGUGCCAGAAGAGCCAGAGAAAACGGUUGGAAAAAGAAAAAGUAUAGAAAAUGCUAUGAAAAGUUCCCUAGGACUAGCGGAUAAAGAAGAUAUUUCAUAUAAAGACUGGGACAUAUUUUCAAGUGUCAACCUUUCUCAAAGCUUUGAGAUAUCGAAAUUUGGGAAACAUGAUGGACAUGAGGAUUUUGUGAAACAUUUGGGACGAUACUGAAGUCAAUUAUAGAAAACUAAAGGGAAGAAGAAGGAAAACAUACCUAUUGUCGGGCCAGUGACAAAGCAUAGCUCGAGAGGUCCAACUUACCAAUACUGUCAGCCUCAAUCCCGAGCUUACAUAUUAGAUCCACAUACUCAUCUAAAUAAGGUUUCUCGUUCCAAAGUCUAAGAUAUUUCAUUCUACUUCCUCAAUAUCCUUUGAACAAUGCACAAUUGUAUACUCGUUCGUCAUCUUAUCCACAAUGGAAAGCAAUGAUCUCUCAACAUUGUCCUUGGCCCCCACAUAUUUACCAAGGUGCCUCUAAAUCCAAGUUUAAACCAAGGCCAGAGUUUGCAAAGAGGAGGAAAGAAAAGGAUAAUUUCACUCCUAUUAGGGAAUCCUAUGCCAGUUUAUUCCAUAGAUUGGUACAAUGGGGCAUGAUCACAUCUCUUCUUGGGUAUACUCCUGACCUGCAUUCAAGAAGUUUUGAUCUUAAUGUACAAUUUUCAUAUCAUUCUGAUGUUCAGGGUCACAGUAUUGAAGAUUAUGGUGCUUUGAAAAGGGAAAUAGAAAAGAUAAUUCAAGAUAAAUCGAUUGGGGUGCAGAACAUUGACAGUGGUGGAAAGGUCUAGUCAUGAUGAUGUGCAACUCAGUGGCUAAGAUGUCAAGCUCAGUAAUUAGAAAGUCACUCCUCUCCUUACCAGGAAGUAUUAUUGGUAGUUUGUUUUGUUUUCCUUUUUGUUUUCUGAAUUAUUUCAGGAUUGUAAUUCGGAACUUAUCUUGUUUUGUUUCUUUGUCGUUUAUGUUUAAACACUUCUAUCUUCCCUUUCAACAAAAUGUAGUGUCCCUUUUUGCUUUUGUCUUAUCUUAAGUUGUUUGUUUUAUUUCUUUACACAGUACAUUUUAUGUAGAUUCUAGUGACAUGAGAUGCUGGUGAAAUUUUCAGUUAAAUCUUAAAAUCCAAUUUAAGCAUGAACUUUUAAUCAAAGACCAAAGCUAGAAAAAAUAUUUAAUAAAAUCGGUAGAGUACCGAGACAUUUGGUGACAAGUUAAAGCCUUCUUUGAAAAUUGAGGGAAUUAUUUUGAGAAUCACAAGAAUAACUUGGUCAUCAAUUGAAAGACAUGUCUCAAUUAGGUCAAAUAGUGGAUGUGUGAUCCGAUAUCAAAAGGGACAGAAAGAAAAUCAACUCCAUGAAAGAAUGAGUCAUUUGAUGUAAGAGAUGUAUAGCAAACGUGGAGUUGUAUGCUAGGCAAGUACAGAAAAAGUACUGACCUACAGGGUCAGUUAAAGUUAGUGCUCUAAAAAAUGUCAUACAUGAUCUUCAUCUCCCACUUUCAUAUUACAUGUUAUGUACUUGCAUUUUUAAGUAUUGAUAUGAUGAAGACAUUUCAUUCUACAAUUCAAACAUCGUUUCAUCCUUUAUUUACCCCAUUUGAGAUUUAGUGUUAUUUCUUUUCAUACCCCUCUUUCGAAAUCAAAAUAGAGUCAUAAAAAAUCCAAAAAAGUGUUGAGUAAGAGAAUAGAGUCAAAAAAGUUCAAAAAAAAAGUGUCCAAAAAGAAAGAAAAGAGAAGAUUGUUAAGAAAAAUAGAGUUAGAAAAAAAAUCGCAAAGAUAAAAGAGUCAAUAAAAGAAAAAAAGAAAAAAAAUAAGAAUCAAGCAAAAUAACAAAUUAUCGAAACUAUGUGUGACCUGAUUCUCUUCUUUCGGGGUUAAGAUACAUAGUAGGCUGCCCUACAUUGGGCUCGAUCUAACUAAAUAAAUUAUUUAGGAGUACUUAGUCAAAAGAACUGGGCCAUGAGUUAAUCCUCAUUGUUUGAGUCGAUUUCAAAAGUUGUAAGUCCUACCCCACUUUAAGUGUCAUUUUAGCCUCAUGUAUUUCUUUCUUUCUAACCUUAUCCAAAAUCCAAGUUACAAUCAAAGAAAGAUCUUCAGAUCAAUCUUUGAGAAUGUCAAGGCGAAGAAUGCAAUGGAUAUGAUAAUGCAUUUUGGGUACUACUUGUCUUUCCCAGCAUAAGGAAUCAGAAGAGAAAUAAAAAUGAGUGAGUCUUAUUGGUGAAAACCCUCACGGGCACCGUAAGACAAUGGUAAGUUGAGAGAGAUAAAAAUGAGAGAGUCUUAUCAGUGAAAACCCUCACGACACUGUAAGAAGAAUGUGAGUAGAGAGAAAUGAAAAUAAGAGAGUCUCAUUGGUGAAAAAUCUUCACAGAUUCCAUAAGGCAGUGGUGAGGUGAGAAAAAGAAAAUGAGAGAGGCUUGUUAGCAAAAACCCUUCAAGGAGCCACUAGAUGAAUGAGGUCUCCAAAUGCAAUUGGUCUAAGAAAGUAACUCAGUUUCAGGUCCAUUAACUCAAGAACAAUUGGUAGAAAGUUUGGACGGAAAGAUCAGACAGCUUAAUCCAAAAUGCAUGACAUAAUCAUUAGAGUCGACUAUCAUUUUUAGAUAAAUUUUUUAUUUCUUUAUUUCAAAUGGGGACAUUCAAUGUCUUUUCUUUCUUCUCUUUAUCUUUAUUUUAUUUUAUUGAGUCAGUUAUUCAAAUAAAAAUCAUUGUCAUUUUUCUCUUGUCUUUGAGUCAAGUCCAUAUCAAAACAAGUGAGAAAAGAUUUCAAGACUAGCUACCAGAUUCUUCAAUUGCACAAAGCAAGACAAAUGCCAACACAUGAAAAAGACAUGAUUGUGAGCCCAAAUAAGGCAUGCAGAAAGUUUUGUCAACAGAAAAGUUUGGGAACUCAUGGAAAUACCAAGGUUCAAAGGGUUUAUCUGAGAAACAUGGAAAAACAGAGAUACUGUGUUUAUUUUAGAGUCACUCUUAAUAUUAUUAGUAUGGGUCAGUGGUGAAACAAGGCAAUGACAAGUGUUAAUGAUUGGAAACAAGAUUUAGAUGUGACAAGUGCAAGCAAAAUCGCCUUAAAAGCCAAAGCCUCAAGCCAACCACCCUGUUUUAAACUCACAAGUUUUGUUUGUAUGAAACAGGAGCAGUUGCUACCGUCUAAUCAAAGGUUUCAAAGCACAAAUAUCCCAAAGUACAAUUCCUCAUUUCUGCAAAUGCAAGAGCAGUAUUGUUGUAUAGGUUUGAUAAUCACAAUUAUGGUAAAACUCAUUAUCUUGUACCCCUAAGAGACACGCUCUCUAAUUUAGGUCUUUCAUGUCUUAUGGAUAGUAGGUGAACUUCCUAAUUUGAGCCUUUAAUCCUAAAAGAUGCACUUUUAGUAAGAACCAUUCACUUUCACUCUUAAGAGAGGGACUUGCUGGGCUCAAUCAUUCAAUUUUACUCUCGAAAGGGUGUGUUUGUUAAUCGAAAUCAUGAUUCAUCUUUUCAUUAUGUGUUGUUACAAGUAGUUGUGAAUGGUUUUAAGACCCACAAAACUUUUGAUGAUAAACUAGGGAAAAAAGAAAAUCUAAUUCCUGUUAUUAGGAACUUCACUUUAGGACCCUCCUAGCAAAAUGAGACUUUACUUUUCUAGAAAAUGAAAUCUUUCUUUAUCAUAAUUUUUAUGUGGGAUAAUUUUUGUUCUAGUUUUGAUUUUGAUUUCAG
rnacentral:lncRNA from 1 species